rnacentral:rRNA from 1 species
UACAGAGGUCCCAAGCGUUGUUCGGAUUCACUGGGCGUAAAGGGUGCGCAGGUGGGUUGGCAAGUUCGAUGUGAAAGCCCCGGGCUUAACCCGGGAAUGGCAUUGGAUACUGCUGAUCUGGAGGAUCGGAGGGGGGACUGGAAUUCUUGGUGUAGCAGUGAGAUGCGUAGAUAUCAAGAGGAACACCAGUGGCGAAGGCGAGUCCCUGGACGAUACCUGACACUGAGGCACGAAAGCUAGGGGAGCAAACAGG